AAGUCGUAACAAGGUUUCCGUAGGUGAACCUGCGGAAGGAUCAUUAUCGAGUUUUGAACGGGUUGUCUGCUGGCUCGCAAGGGCAUGUGCACGCCUGUCUCAUCCACUCUCAACUUCUGUGCACUUUUCAUAGGCCGGCUUGUGGGUGCGUUCGCGCACUUGUAGGUGUCGGGUUUAUGCUUUACUACAAACGAUUCAGUUUUAGAAUGUCAUACUUUGCUAUAACGCAAUUUAUAUACAACUUUCAGCAACGGAUCUCUUGGCUCUC
rnacentral:misc_RNA from 1 species